GAUGAACGCUGGCGGCGUGCCUAAUACAUGCAAGUCGAGCGAACAGAUGAGGAGCUUGCUCCUCUGACGUUAGCGGCGGACGGGUGAGUAACACGUGGAUAACCUACCUAUAAGACUGGGAUAACUUCGGGAAACCGGAGCUAAUACCGGAUAAUAUAUUGAACCGCAUGGUUCAAUAGUGAAAGACGGUUUUGCUGUCACUUAUAGAUGGAUCCGCGCCGCAUUAGCUAGUUGGUAAGGUAACGGCUUACCAAGGCAACGAUGCGUAGCCGACCUGAGAGGGUGAUCGGCCAAACUGGACCGGGGCCACGGUCCAGACUCCUAGGGGAGGAAGAAGUGGGAAACCUUCGGCAAUGGGCGAAAGCCUGAGGGGGAAAGGCGGCGUGGGUGAUGAAGGUCUUCGGUUCGUAAACCUCUGUUAUUAGGGAAGAAAAAAUGUGUAAGUAACUAUGCCCGUCUUGACGGUACCUAAUAAGAAAGCCACGGCUAACUACGU
rnacentral:rRNA from 1 species